rnacentral:sRNA from 1 species
CUGAAAGCUUCUGGAGACCAAAGUCCUCUCUUUAUCCACAGGACAGGAACAGCACGGGCAGUGGCAAUGCAAGCUUUCCCAUACUGCCCCAGCAAGGUGACUCAAUACUCUCACUUCUAGGGGUGACAAAGAAAUUAAUUCCUUAUGUUAAUUAAUUCCCUGACCUCA